rnacentral:rRNA from 1 species
CGCGUAGCACAGCUCAGUAACACGUGGCUAACCUGCCUGGGACGGAAACACCCCGGGAAACUGGGGCUAAUUUCCGAUAGGUGAAGACUCCUGGAAUGGAUUUUUGCCGAAAGGGCGCUUAGGGCAUGCUUCUAGGCGUUGCUCAAGGAUGGGGCCGCGGCCGAUCAGGUUGUUGGUGAGGUAAUGGCUCACCAAGCCUUUAACCGGUACGGGCCGUGGGAGCGGUAGCCCGGAGAUGGGCACUGAGACAAGGGCCCAGGCCCUACGGGGCGCAGCAGUCGCGAAAACUUCGCAAUAAGCGAAAGCUUGACGGGGCCAUCCCGAGUGCCAUCUGCUGAGGAUGGCUUUUACCCAGUAUAGAUAGCUGGGGGAAUAAGGAGAGGGCAAGUCUGGUGUCAGCCGCCGCGGUAAUACCAGCUCUCCGAGUUGUGGGGAUGUUUAUUGGGCCUGAAGCAUCCGUAGCCGGCUGGACAAGUCCUCUGUUAAAUCCAGCGACUAAUCGUUGGUCUGCGGAGGAUACUGUCCGGCUAGGGGGCGGGAGAGGCCGUCGGUAUUCUUGGGGUAGGGGUGAAAUCCUAUAAUCCCAGGAGGACCACCAGUGGCGAAGGCUGUCGGCUAGAACGCGCCCGACGGUGAGGGAUGAAAGCUGGGGGAGCGAACCGGAUUAGAUACCCGGGUAGUCCCAGCUGUAAACGAUGCAGGCUAGGUGUUAGGGCGGCUACGUGCCGCUCUAGUGCCGCAGGGAAGCUGUUAAGCCUGCCGCCUGGGGAUUACGACCGGCAGGCUGACUUAAAGGCA